ACUAGGGGUCCUCAUCGGAUUACCGAAUUCAGUCAAACUCCGAAUGCCAAUGACUUAUCCUUAGGAGUCAGACUGCGAGUGAUAAGAUCCGUAGUCAAGAGGGAAACAGCCCAGAUCGCCAGCUAAGGUCCCAAAGUGUGUAUUAAGUGGAAAAGGAUGUGGAGUUGCUUAGACAACUAGGAUGUUGGCUCAGAAGCAGCCACCAUUUAAAGAGUGCGUAAUAGCUCACUAGUCGAGUGACUCUGCGCCGAAAAUGUACCGGGGCUAAAUACACCACCGAAGCUGCGAAUUGAUACCAAUGGUAUCAGUGGUAGGGGAGCGUUCUAAGUGCAGUGAAGUCAGACCGGAAGGACUGGUGGAGCGCUUAGAAGUGAGAAUGCCGGUAUGAGUAGCGAAAGACGGGUGAGAAUCCCGUCCACCGAAUGCCUAAGGUUUCCUGAGGAAGGCUCGUCCGCUCAGGGUUAGUCAGGACCUAAGCCGAGGCCGACAGGCGUAGGCGAUGGACAACAGGUUGAUAUUCCUGUACCACCUCUUUAUCGUUUGAGCAAUGGAGGGACGCAGAAGGAUAGAAGAAGCGUGCGAUUGGUUGUGCACGUCCAAGCAGUUAGGCUGAUAAGUAGGCAAAUCCGCUUAUCGUGAAGGCUGAGCUGUGAUGGGGAAGCUCCUUAUGGAGCGAAGUCUUUGAUUCCCCGCUGCCAAGAAAAGCUUCUAGCGAGAUAAAAGGUGCCUGUACCGCAAACCGACACAGGUAGGCGAGGAGAGAAUCCUAAGGUGUGCGAGAGAACUCUGGUUAAGGAACUCGGCAAAAUGACCCCGUAACUUCGGGAGAAGGGGUGCUUUCUUAACGGAAAGCCGCAGUGAAUAGGCCCAAGCGACUGUUUAGCAAAAACACAGGUCUCUGCGAAGCCGUAAGGCGAAGUAUAGGGGCUGACACCUGCCCGGUGCUGGAAGGUUAAGGAGAGGGGUUAGCGUAAGCGAAGCUCUGAACUGAAGCCCCAGUAAACGGCGGCCGUAACUAUAACGGUCCUAAGGUAGCGAAAUUCCUUGUCGGGUAAGUUCCGACCCGCACGAAAGGUGUAACGAUUUGGGCACUGUCUCAACCAGAGACUCGGUGAAAUUAUAGUACCUGUGAAGAUGCAGGUUACCCGCGACAGGACGGAAAGACCCCGUGGAGCUUUACUGUAGCCUGAUAUUGAAUUUUGGUACAGUUUGUACAGGAUAGGCGGGAGCCAUUGAAACCGGAGCGCUAGCUUCGGUGGAGGCGCUGGUGGGAUACCGCCCUGACUGUAUUGAAAUUCUAACCUACGGGUCUCAUCGACCCGGGAGACAGUGUCAGGUGGGCAGUUUGACUGGGGCGGUCGCCUCCUAAAGUGUAACGGAGGCGCCCAAAGGUUCCCUCAGAAUGGUUGGAAAUCAUUCGUAGAGUGCAAAGGCAUAAGGGAGCUUGACUGCGAGACCUACAAGUCGAGCAGGGACGAAAGUCGGGCUUAGUGAUCCGGUGGUUCCGCAUGGAAGGGCCAUCGCUCAACGGAUAAAAGCUACCCCGGGGAUAACAGGCUUAUCUCCCCCAAGAGUCCACAUCGACGGGGAGGUUUGGCACCUCGAUGUCGGCUCAUCGCAUCCUGGGGCUGUAGUCGGUCCCAAGGGUUGGGCUGUUCGCCCAUUAAAGCGGUACGCGAGCUGGGUUCAGAACGUCGUGAGACAGUUCGGUCCCUAUCCGUCGUGGGCGCAGGAAAUUUGAGAGGAGCUGUCCUUAGUACGAGAGGACCGGGAUGGACGCACCGCUGGUGUACCAGUUGUUCUGCCAAGGGCAUAGCUGGGUAGCUAUGUGCGGAAGGGAUAAGUGCUGAAAGCAUCUAAGCAUGAAGCCCCCCUCAAGAUGAGAUUUCCCAUAGCGUAAGCUAGUAAGAUCCCUGAAAGAUGAUCAGGUUGAUAGGUUCGAGGUGGAAGCAUGGUGACAUGUGGAGCUGACGAAUACUAAUAGAUCG
rnacentral:rRNA from 1 species